AUUGAACGCUGGCGGCAGGCCUAACACAUGCCAGUCGAACGGUAACAGGAAACAGCUUGCUGUUUCGCUGACGAGUGGCGGACGGGUGAGUAAUGUCUGGGAAACUGCCUGAUGGAGGGGGAUAACUACUGGAAACGGUAGCUAAUACCGCAUAACGUCGCAAGACCAAAGAGGGGGACCCUCGGGCCUCUUGCCAUCGGAUGUGCCCAGAUGGGAUUAGCUUGUUGGUGGGGUAACGGCUCACCAAGGCGACGAUCCCUAGCUGGUCUGAGAGGAUGACCAGCCACACUGGAACUGAGACACGGUCCAGACUCCUACGGGAGGCAGCAGUGGGGAAUAUUGCACAAUGGGCGCAAGCCUGAUGCAGCCAUGCCGCGUGUAUGAAGAAGGCCUUCGGGUUGUAAAGUACUUUCAGCGGGGAGGAAGGGAGUAAAGUUAAUACCUUUGCUCAUUGACGUUACCCGCAGAAGAAGCACCGGCUAACUCCGUA
rnacentral:rRNA from 1 species